rnacentral:rRNA from 1 species
AGUGAACGCUGGCGGUAGGCCUAACACAUGCAAGUCGAACGGCAGCACAGUAAGAGCUUGCUCUUACGGGUGGCGAGUGGUGGACGGGUGAGGAAUACAUCGGAAUUUACUUUUUCGUGGGGGAUAACGUAGGGAAACUUACGCUAAUACCGCACACGACCUACGGGUGAAAGCAGGGGAUCUUCGGACCUUGCGCGAUUGAAUGAGCCGAUGUCGGAUUAGCUAGUUGGCGUGGUAAAGGCCCACCAAGGCGACGAUCCGUAGCUGGUCUGAGAGGAUGAUCACCCCCACUGAGACUGAGUCACGGUCCAGACUCCUACGGGAGGCGACAGUGGGGAAUAUUGGGCACUGGGCGCAAGCGUGAUCCAGCCAUGCAACGUGGGUGAAGAAGGCCUUCGGGUUGUUCAGCAGUUUUGUUGGGAAGGGAAAGCAGCAGGUUAAUACCCCGCUGUUCUGACGGUACCCAAAGAAUAAGCACCGGCUAACUUCGUG